UACUUAGUGGCAGACGGGUGAGUAACAUGUGGGUAUCUACCCUUUGGCCUGGAAUAACACGAGGAAACUUGUGCUAAUACCGGAUAAGUCUUUACAGAGAAAGCUUUAUGCACCAUUGGAUGAGCCCGCACUUGAUUAGUUUGUUGGUAGGGUAAUGGCCUACCAAGACUAUGAUCAAUAGCUGAUUUGAGAGGAUGAUCAGCCACAUUGGGACUGAGACACGGCCCAAACUCCUACGGGAGGCAGCAGUGGGGAAUCUUGCACAAUGGAGGAAACUCUGAUGCAGCGAUGCCGCGUGAGUGAAGAAGGCCUUUGGGUUGUAAAGCUCUUUCGUCGGGGAAGAAAAUGACUGUACCCGAAUAAGAAGGUCCGGCUAACUUCGUGCCAGCAGCCGCGGUAAUACGAAGGGACCUAGCGUAGUUCGGAAUUACUGGGCUUAAAGAGUUCGUAGGUGGUUGAAAAAGUUGGUGGUGAAAUCCCAGAGCUUAACUCUGGAACUGCCAUCAAAACUUUUCAGCUAGAGUAUGAUAGAGGAAAGCAGAAUUUCUAGUGUA
rnacentral:rRNA from 1 species